CCCUGGUAGUCCCACGNCGAAACGAUGAUGACUCGCUGUUGGCGAUACACAGUCAGCGGCUUAGCGAAAGCGUUAAGUAUCCACCUGGGGAGUACGCUCGCAAGAGURAAACUCAAAGGAAUURACGGGGGCNCGCAAAGCGGAGGAACAUGUGGUUUAAUUCGAUGAUACGCGAGGAACCUUACCUGGGCUUAAAGUGCCAUGACCGCCGGASAAAUUUGGCUCUCCGCAAGGACAGGGUACAAGGUGCUGCAUGUUGUCGUCAGCUCGUGCCGUGAGGUGUCGGGUUAAGUCCCAUAACGAGCGCAACCCUUUUGUCAGUUGCUAACAGGUAAAGCUGAGGACCCUGGCGAGACUGCCACCGUAAGGUGUGGGAAGGUGGGGAUGACGUCAAAUCAGCACGGCCCUUAUGUCCAGGGCUACACACGUGUUCAAUGGCCGAUACAAAGGGCAGCUACCGGGCGACCGGAUGCUAAUCUCUAAAGUCGGUCCAGUUCGGAUCGGAGUCUGCAACCCGACUCCGUGAAGCUGGAUUCGCUAGUAAUCGCGCUCAGCCAUGGCGCGGUGAAUACGUUCCCGGGCCUUGUACACACCGCCCGUCAAACCAUGGAGUUGGGGGUACCUGAAGUAUGUGACCGCGAGGAGCGUCCUAGGGUAAAACCAAUGACGGGGUU
rnacentral:rRNA from 1 species